rnacentral:misc_RNA from 1 species
UGUGAUUGAAACGUAUGGAGCGGUCCAUGAUGUGGUGUCUGUGUGGGCAGGCUCCGACUGUUUGGUCGGAGUUGUCCGCACUGCACUCAAUUGUAGCAAGAGGCAACGAGUGUGUCGGUUCAGGUGCCAAGCAUCCCAGAGCCAAGCAUUCGGGGCCAACCAAUUAACAGCAC